rnacentral:lncRNA from 1 species
UUGUACUCUGCCUCUGACUCUCUUCCAAGAACAAUUUGGCAAGUUCUAAUCUACAUCUUGCAAAAAAAAAACAAAAAACAAAAAACAGAGAGGUAGGAGGGCCACAGCACCUGGGGUCCCAGAAGGCAGACUGACCUAUUCCUACAGCAGGGAGACAAGGUCUCAUUCUGUUGCCCAGGCUGGAGUGCAGUGGUGCAAUCACGGUUCACUGCAACCUGGAACUCCAGGGUUCAAGCAAUCCUCCUGCCUCAGCCUGCCGAGUAGCUGUGACAACAGGUGCGAGCCACCAUGCCCAGCUAAGAUUUCACCAUGUUGCCCAGCUGGUCUUGAACUCCUGGCCUCAAGCAAUUCUCCUGCUUUAGGCUCCCAAGUUGCUGGAAUUACAGGCUGCCUCCUCUGAGCCUUCCCAGAUUCUCAGUCUGUGAUGAAAUAGACAGAACACCAAGCUACCAGGAAGGGCACCUGCCUCCUAGAUCGGAAUCUUCGUCCAUUCGCACUUAGGUGAUCACUUGCCUUCGAGAGCCCCAUCCAGAAGACGGGAGUAAUGAGCCCUGCUCUGCCCAUCACGGGCCGCUAUGAGGAUGCAA